CUAAUAAAAAGAUUAUCUCAGAUCUUGUCCGAUAAGCAAAACCCUAGCGUUCUGUCUCUCUCUCUCGAUCUUCUUUUAACCUCGGAGAGUUUUGUCGGAAGAUCCCCAAUUCGAAAACAGAAUCACCACUGACUGAAUUUAGGAAUCGCCAUGGGUUCCAGAUCUCGUAAUGAUAAUUUCCAAUCCGGCGAUGGUGCUAGUCCAGGGAAAAUAUUCAUCGGAGGUUUGCACAAAGACACCACUACUACUGUGUUCAACAAGCACUUUGGCAAGUACGGGGAGAUUACAGAUUCUGUCAUUAUGCGUGAUCGACAUACUGGGCAACCUAGGGGUUUUGGUUUCAUCACCUAUGCCGAUUCUUCUGUUGUUGAUAAAGUCAUUGAAGAUAAUCAUGUCAUCAAUGGCAAACAGGUUGAGAUCAAAAGGACUAUUCCGAAAGGUGCUGGUGGCAAUCAGGCCAAGGAUAUCAAAACAAAGAAGAUUUUUGUUGGUGGCAUACCCUCCACUGUUACAGAAGAUGAGCUUAAGGACUUCUUUGCCAAGUAUGGGAACGUGGUGGAGCACCAGAUUAUUCGAGACCAUGAAACAAACAGGUCCAGAGGUUUUGGUUUCGUGAUUUUUGACAGCGAAGAAGUCGUAGAUGAAUUAUUGUCCAAAGGAAACAUGAUCGAUAUGGCAGACACUCAGGUAAGCUUGUACAAAUGGUGCCUAGAAUUGUGGUGGUACAUGAAGUUAUUUAUAUCUUGGUUUCAUUUUGAAUUUUUCUGCUUGUUCAUUUCGUUAUAAACGUUUAACUUAGUUAGCUUCCCACCCGUUAGCUUCCCACCAAGUGUAAGGAGGUUGUCACAGUAAACUAGGAAGUACUCUGUUAUAGUUUGCAUCCUUAGCAUAGCUAGGUUAAUUAAGUUACUUUGUUGUAGGUGGAGAUCAAGAAAGCUGAACCAAAGAAAUCUUCAAACCGUUCACCUCC